GACGAACGCUGGCGGCGUGCCUAAUACAUGCAAGUAGAACGCCCAGUUUAUACCGUCGCUUGCUUCACCAUAAACUGUGAGUUGCGAACGGGUGAGUCACGCGUAGGUAACCUUCCUGGUAGCAGGGCAUAACUAUUGGAAACGAUAGCUAAUACCGCAUAAUAUUGAUUAUUCCAUGAUAAUUGAUUGAAUGAUGCAAUUGCAUCACUACCAGAUGAAUCGACGUUGUAUUAGCUAGUAGGCGAGGGAACGGCCCACCUAGGCGACGAUACAUAGCUGAACUGAGAGGAUGAACAGACAAAUGGGAACUGAGACACGGUCCAGAGUCCUACGGGAGGCAGCAGUGGGGAAUAUUGGACAAUGGGCGCAAGCCUGAUCCAGCCAUACCGCGUGGGUGAAGAAGGCCGUCGGGUUGUAAAGCCCUUUUGUUGGGAAAGAAAAGCAGCAGGUUAAUACCCCGCUGUUCUGACGGUACCCAAAGAAUAAGCACCGGCUAACUUCGUG
rnacentral:rRNA from 1 species